UGGCCGCUGUUCCCCGUCCACAUCCUGCGGGGGUUUGCCCCUCGGAGCGUCUUUGCCCGGCCCAUCCCGCCCAGGGGGCACCGGGCCGCAGGUACCGGCUCGGCCCUUCCCCGGCGCGCCCGGCUGGAGCCGCCCCUCUCCGGGAUGCGCGGGGAGCCGGGCGCGGACCGGCCGCGGGGCCACCGCCGCUGGGAAGGGUGCGCGGAGCCGGCCAGUGGGAAACUGCAUUGGGGCACGGAGCAUGUCUGGGAACGCUUCCAGGGGGGUGAAAACUCCUCCCUGGCACGGGCUGAAGCAGCGCCUUGGUGACAAGUGUCCCUCCGUCGAGGGGAGUGCCGGUAGCAAGAGUGAGUGGGAGUGUGUUUGUGUGUGUUAUAAAGGCACUCGUACAGUGCUUGGCAAUUUGAGGAUCUCUGGCGUAUUUUAGACCAUGGCAUUGAUUAAAAACAUUUUUAAGUUGCCGUGCCAUUAUUUUGACCUGGAAAGCAAAAGGACAUGCUUAGGAUGCCUAGCAGGCUAUGGCUGGGACUGCCCACUGUACCAUCCUGUGUUGGACUGCAUCCUUGCUGCUGGAGAGCAGGCUCUCCUAGAACCAGAAUAAUUCCAUGGGAACCAGGAGCCACGGGAAGCAGUUGGAGAAAUACGUGACAGAAGGACGCAAGCAGUUUGUCUGCCCCUUUCAGUGGAACCUUCCACCAAAGGAGGUUAGGAGCCUCCAGAAGAACGUGUUUCCAGAUGCAGGCCUGGCUUGCAGAAGGUGCAUUAUAGAUGAAGUGCUGACAGUCUGGCAGGAAAAAAAUGAAUAUUUUCUGGGAUGCUUCAUUCAGGGCUGGAGAAGCUGCUGUAACCUGAAGGUCAACAAUGAUGGAAGAUAUUCAUCCCUACCCUUAAAUAUGGCCUAAAUCAGAAGAAUUACAGUUUAUUUUCUUUGUACCUUGCUUUUGUAGGGUACUCUGAUGUAAUGUGUUUCUGUGAAGCUUGUAGGGUGUGUGUCUUGACAGGAUGGGAUGAUAGUUGUUUUAUUGUGGUUCUAAAGGCAUAACUGAAUGUAACAGAGCAUAGGUGUCACAACUUCACUAGAGUCCAGAAUGGUUGGAGUCUAGAACUGAAUCCUUUCCUGUAUAUUGUAAACAUACAUGUUUUUCUUCCAAAAGUACUUGGAUUUAGAGUGUUGCACCACAUAAGUAUUGAAAGAAAUGCCUCCACUGCUACUGUUCUUGCAUUCUUCAAUUACGGUGAUUAAGGCAUACAUGUUUUAUCUCAGUUACUUGAGAUAUAGAUACAGCUCUUUGGCAGUUUUUGCCAUGUUGAAGUAUCUUAGAUAGACUAACAAAAACAAGCACAUCUUCAAUUUAAGUAGUAACAUCAUAUAUGAAAUUAGUGAGAAGGAUAAGUAAGUAAGCUGUCAAAAAACAAUUUAACAUAUUCUAGUAUUCUGACCUCAUUAAUACAUUUUCAUGUUUGCAAUGAAUCAUCGAAGUUUUGUGGUUUAGAUAGCUGAUGAUGCAUUAACAAACAGGGAAGAACAAAAUCCAUUGCAGAGCUGACAUCGUAAGGCUUAAUUCUGGCAGUCAACAAAAAGAUUUGCUUUCAUUUUGAUAUUUCACUAAACACUUCUAAUGUUAGUCUCUGUUUUAUAGUUAUGGCUUAGAGAAAACUGUAUCUACCUACAGAAAAUACUAAAAUGAAAUUGUUGCUUUUAAUUAACAGCAUUAUUUUCCUGAAAUUAUGUUUUUUUACCUCAGUGCUGAUCCAAAUGAGGUAUAAAUUGCUAAAUCCCCUAGCUCCAGCAUGUCAGCUCUUCAGUUCACACAGCAGCAACGUGCACCCUUCCCCUGGAAGCCUGAGACAAGGAUCAUGACAGUCUUUGGGCUGCCAGUACAGAAAAAUCCUGUGGCUGGGCUACAAUGGAUUUCUGUGUUUUGAUUGCCAGGGAAAACAUAGAAAGAUUAUUUCCCUCCCCUAUCUUCUGUGCUAUGCGAAAGCCUGCCACAUGACAGUAAUUAGUAACUACCUGGUGAUGAGGGAAAUACAGAUCUCCAAGCGAUACAGGGUUUGUUAACUGGACACAUCUAAUUACUGUCUCUGUAUGCACAGCCAGCCAAGGGAUUCAGUCGAGUACAUUACAUUAGAAAUGACAGGAGUUAAAACUUCCUGUGGUGUCUUGCACUUUUACAGGCUGGAAAAAUGUUGCAGGGUGAGAGGCACAAGCAGUGCUGUGAGAGCAGAGAUUACCAGCGGUGCUUAUUGCAAUUACUCGCCCAAGGAUUUCCAGCCUUGCAGCUGCUGUUUGAGUUUGAUGGUCUUGCUAGGUGUCAUUUGGUGGCUACUACUUGCUCAGUGCCCAUUAAUUAGCAAACACACUUGUAGAACUUCCAUGGAAGGAUUAGGGGACUCAAAGAGGAAAGCAAAUCAGGUUUUUUUAUCAUACCAAUAACAUAGCUGUUUUCACUGUGAAAUUAUGGAGCUUCUAGGUAUAAGCACUGAUUCUGCUUGAUUUUUCCAUCUUUUGUUUUUAAGGUAAUUAAAUAAGACUAAGCAUGGCUAGGAUGUGAGUAGGUAAGACUAAGUCCUAAAAGUAACUUUUUUAUUUCUUAGAAUACUUGAGAAUCAGAUAAAAUCACUUUAGUUCUUGCUAGGUAGACGACUUUUAUUAUCUUGAGAAGGGAAAAAUAAAAAAGUGCUUACUGCUUUCUUUUCUUCUUAAUCUGAACUGUAUAGGCAGAUUCAGCAUAUACAAGUCCUAUAUUUGUACUAAAAAAUAGCAGCAACAAUUUUUCAGGAAGAUGGGAUUAGAUAGUUUAACAUUGUUUUAACAUAGCUUUAAUGACUAUUGUAUAUAAUUAAGAGUAAAAUUACAUGCAUAGUCGAGGAAUGUGUGUGUUCAAUUUACACAGAAUGAACAGACAUGCUUCCCAUUUCUGGCUGCAACUGUUCUGCUUUUCACCUCUAAAAUCAGUGAGAUUAGCUGGAGGUAUCAUCUUUUCCAUUCCCUGAUGAAGAACAGCAUCUGCUCCAAGUGCUUUCAUUUAUAAGCAGCAUAUGUUGGGGUCAGGAAACAGCCCAGGGCAAGAAUGAUAAUAGUGGGCAGAAAAGCAGGUGAGAGACAGAUCACUGAUCUCUGAAACAUACAGUCCUUGCCAUAUAAUGCUGUGGUGCAUGCUCUGCUACCUUGGCCAGCCUCUGCCAGCUUUCAUCUUAAGACUCACUGUGCAAAGGUAGUAUUCCAGGGGCAUUUAGAAAAGGUUCUUGCACGUUCUAGGUGCCUUAGGAAGCUCAGAAUAAACAGCCAGGCAUGGGUUGGACUUGUGCUGCUGAAUUGAUAAGGAUCUAAACCAAAUCUCUAAUUUGCUGUGCACAACAGAGCAGGGGACUGUGCUAUUUUGUGUAGUAGAAAGAUGGUAGUUACUAUGCAAGAUAAAGACCUCAAUGUUUUCAAAAGAAAAAGCACCAGUUUGCCAAGUGAAAUUGUGUACUGAUGUUAAUCUGUGUCUGCAUACCUUCACUGUACACAGGCAAGCACAGUGAAAGCUUAAUGAUGGUAACCUGGAGACUGAAAAAAGUGGAGUUCUACAUAAAAAAUGCAUGUGCCUCAGCAGAAUAAAUAACUUUUGUAUCACUGGAUGAAUCUGACAGUCAUCUGCACAAUGAUAAUGAUGUUGAACUUCACUGUAAUUAUUUGAUACCAAUGUUCUAGAUGCUACUGUAUUACUGGAGCAACGAGAUGUGUGUUCUUUUUUUUUUUUUUUAACACUGGCCUCAGUAGGGUUUAUUGCAAGAAGCUAAGGGAAAUCUAAGGGAAAUGCUGCUGUCAACUUGCUUCAUGAAUGCCACUGGAGAAAAAAUUCAGAAUUUCCCAAGUGACUCAUAGAUAUCUUAUGGCUGGAGAUUUCUGUGGGGAUGUCAGAGUGAUUUCAUUUCUUCCUUGGAAACGGCCACCUGCAUCUCUGGUCUGUCAGCCCUCAAAGGUUUUCCCCUUGCCCAUCUGUCUCUGCAGUAAAUUUACAGAUAUGGAUUGCUUUUCCUUGUGUAAUGUUCCUUGAUAUUAUUUUAAUGUUGUUUGUUCACGGGAGAUUUUUUCCUGCCACUUUUUUCCCAUAAGUAAUUUUGAAGUGUCUGCUUCCUUGUCAUAACUGUAUAUUUGUAAGCUCCAAAGACAUCUUUAUAGGCAUUGUACCUAAUUUCAAAUUCAGAUAUUGCUUUAAAUUUGGAAACUAUAGAGACAUUAAAAAAAAUCCCAACAACAAACCCUUAAGAUUUUCAGGUCAAAAGUUCUUCUUUUC